GGGAGUUGCGGGCCGGCGAGCGCGGUAGUACGAAGGGGGGAUGCGUUAAUCGGAAUUACUGGGGGUAAAGGGUGCGGAGGCGGGUAUUUAAGUCUGCCGUGAAAUCCCCGGGCUCAACCUGGGAAUGGCGGUGGAUACUGGAUAGCUAGAGUGUGUCAGAGGAUGGUGGAAUUCCCGGUGUAGCGGUGAAAUGCGUAGAGAUCGGGAGGAACAUCAGUGGCGAAGGCGGCCAUCUGGGACAACACUGACGCUGAAGCACGAAAGCGUGGGGAGCAAACAGGAUUAGAUACCCCUGUAGUC
rnacentral:rRNA from 1 species